GUGAAUCAUCAAAUUUUUGAACGCAAAUUGCGCUUCCUGGCAUCCCGGGAAGUAUGCCUGUUUGAGGGUCAGUAUUAACAAAAAAUCGGUUUGGUUGCAAAUUGUGACGUUUCCGGAGUUUGGGCUAUCUUAACUUUUUUGGUUAAGGGGCUUAAAAUUGACCUUUUUUGCGCAUUUUUAGACGUACAUAAAUUUUUUUUUUUUUGGUUUUUCUUUAUUCCAAAAUUUUUUUUGAUUGCGU
rnacentral:misc_RNA from 1 species